GAUGAACGCUGGCGGUAUGCUUAACACAUGCAAGUCGAACGGACUCUUCGGAGUUAGUGGCGGACGGGUGAGUAACGCGUGAGAAUCUGGCUUUGGGUUCGGGACAACCACUGGAAACGGUGGCUAAUACCGGAUGUGCCGAGAGGUAAAAGAGAAAUUGCCUGAAGAUGAGCUCGCGUCUGAUUAGCUAGUUGGUGAGGUAAAGGCUCACCAAGGCAGCGAUCAGUAGCUGGUCUGAGAGGAUGACCAGCCACACUGGGACUGAGACACGGCCCAGACUCCUACGGGAGGCAGCAGUGGGGAAUUUUCCGCAAUGGGCGAAAGCCUGACGGAGCAAUACCGCGUGAGGGAAGAAGGCUCUUGGGUUGUAAACCUCUUUUCUUAGGGAAGAACAAAACGACGGUACCUAAGGAAUCAGCAUCGGCUAACUCCGUG
rnacentral:rRNA from 1 species